CGGCACGGGUGAGUAACACGUAUCCAACCUGCCGUCUACUCUUGGCCAGCCUUCUGAAAGGAAGAUUAAUCCAGGGUGGCAUCAUGAGUUCACAUGUCCGCAUGAUUAAAGGUAUUUUCGGUAGACGAUGGGGAUGCGUUCCAUUAGAUAGUAGGCGGGGUAACGGCCCACCUAGUCAACGAUGGAUAGGGGUUCUGAGAGGAAGGUCCCCCACAUUGGAACUGAGACACGGUCCAA
rnacentral:rRNA from 1 species